GAUGAACGCUGGCGGCGUGCCUAAUACAUGCAAGUCGAGCGAACGGACGAGAAGCUUGCUUCUCUGAUGUUAGCGGCGGACGGGUGAGUAACACGUGGAUAACCUACCUAUAAGACUGGGAUAACUUCGGGAAACCGUAGCUAAUACCGGAUAAUAUUUUGAACCGCAUGGUUCAAAAGUGAAAGACGGUCUUGCUGUCACUUAUAGAUGGAUCCGCGCUGCAUUAGCUAGUUGGUAAGGUAACGGCUUACCAAGGCAACGAUGCAUAGCCGACCUGAGAGGGUGAACGGCCACACUGGAACUGAGACACGGUCCAGACUCCGACGGGAGGCAGCAGUAGGGAAUCUUCCGCAAUGGGCGAAAGCCUGACGGAGCAACGCCGCGUGAGUUAUGAAGGUCUUCGGAUCGUAAAACUCUGUUAUUAGGGAAGAACAUAUGUGUAAGUAACUGUGCACAUCUUGACGGUACCUAAUCAGAAAGCCACGGCUAACUACGUG
rnacentral:rRNA from 1 species